rnacentral:tRNA from 1 species
GCCUUCGUGGUGCAGUGGUCAGCACACUCGGCGCGUAUCCGAGAAGUUCGUGGUUCAAGUCCCGGCGAGGACA